GAUGAACGCUAGCUACAGGCUUAACACAUGCAAGUCGAGGGGCAGCAUGAACUUAGCUUGCUAAGUUUGAUGGCGACCGGCGCACGGGUGAGUAACACGUAUCCAACCUGCCGAUGACUCGGGGAUAGCCUUUCGAAAGAAAGAUUAAUACCCGAUGGCAUAGUUCUUCCGCAUGGUAGAACUAUUAAAGAAUUUCGGUCAUCGAUGGGGAUGCGUUCCAUUAGGUUGUUGGCGGGGUAACGGCCCACCAAGCCUUCGAUGGAUAGGGGUUCUGAGAGGAAGGUCCCCCACAUUGGAACUGAGACACGGUCCAAACUCCUACGGGAGGCAGCAGUGAGGAAUAUUGGUCAAUGGACGAGAGUCUGAACCAGCCAAGUAGCGUGAAGGAUGACUGCCCUAUGGGUUGUAAACUUCUUUUAUACGAGAAUAAAGUGAGGCACGUGUGCCUUUUUGUAUGUACCGUAUGAAUAAGGAUCGGCUAACUCCGUG
rnacentral:rRNA from 1 species